UUGUAACCUAUAUAGCUAUUAUUUUUCCAUUUAGAUAAAUUGUCGUUUUUGUUUAUAUAGUUCAAAUGGCGCUUUCGCUGAAACAGAAGAAAAAUAUGCUAAAACUGGGAAUCGUGAUUAGUGUAUUUUUCAUCAUUACAGGUUUUACCAUUAUGAAGUUUCUUGCUACUUAUGUUGUCCCGGCUUACGUAGAGCUGACUUCUAUUAAGUCAGCCCUUUUUGUACAUUACAACGCUGAGAAUAUAAUGAAACAUGUCGUUGAUCAAUUGGCCAAUAACUCGAUCAGCGAAUAUGAGCUCACAUCCAAAACGAGGCCAACAAACUCCAACAAAUCUAAGGAACUUUCAGGAAAUUUUAACAAUUUCAGCGGCUUUGAGAACUUGUCACCAGAAAUACGAGAUGCAAUCCUUACCUACCCUGCAAUUAAUACUUUGGAGCAAGACCUGGACAAUUCGUUACCGUGGAUAGUGUUUUCUAUAUUUUGUUGCAGUUUCGGACUUACGCUACUCAAGGUAAUCUGGGGAGUGUAUGUGUGCUAUAUCAAACCAGAUGUGGAGAAAAAUAACAAAGAGCUAGAGAUGGAGACAACGAUGACCAGAAUCUUAGAACGCCAGAAGGAAAAACUCCAGAUGAAAGCGGAAAUCAUAGAGAUUGAUUCAAAAGUGUAAACUAAGCAGCUGUAGCUGAUGUAAAUUUUCACCCAAAAAAGAAGAGAAAACUUGGAAAAACAUUUAUGGUACAGAAAGACAGAUUUUUUUAAAAAGCAAUUGGAAGGUUUAUUCGUUUUUUUUUAACAUCAUUUUGGGAUCUUGUCAACUAUU